UCCAGACUCCUACGGGAGGCAGCAGUGGGGAAUAUUGCACAAUGGGGGGAACCCUGAUGCAGCGACGCCGCGUGGGCGAUGGAGUGCUUCGGCAUGUAAAGCCCUAUCAGCAGGGAAGAAAAUGACGGUACCUGACUAAGAAGCCCCGGCUAACUCCGUGCCAGCAGCCGCGGUAAUACGGAGGAUACGAGCGUUAUCCGGAUUCAUUGGGUUUAAAGGGUGCGCAGGCGGGCCUUUAAGCCGGGGGAAAACUCGGGGGCCCCACCCCCGCCGAGCCGUCGGAACUGGGGGCCUUGAGUGCGGCGGAGGCAUGCGGAAUGCGCGGUGUAGCGGUGAAAUGCAUAGAUAUCGCGCAGAACCCCGAUUGCGAAGGCAGCGUGCCGGGCCGCCACUGACGCUGAGGCACGAAAGCGCGGGGAUCGAACAGGAUUAGAUACCCGCGUA
rnacentral:rRNA from 1 species